AAAUUGAAGAGUUUGAUCAUGGCUCAGAUUGAACGCUGGCGGCAGGCCUAACACAUGCAAGUCGAACGGUAACAGGAAACAGCUUGCUGUUUCGCUGACGAGUGGCGGACGGGUGAGUAAUGUCUGGGAAACUGCCCGAUGGAGGGGGAUAACUACUGGAAACGGUAGCUAAUACCGCAUAACGUCGCAAGACCAAAGAGGGGGACCUUCGGGCCUCUUGCUAUCGGAUGUGCCCAGAUGGGAUUAGCUAGUAGGUGGGGUAACGGCUCACCUAGGCGACGAUCCCUAGCUGGUCUGAGAGGAUGACCAGCCACACUGGAACUGAGACACGGUCCAGACUCCUACGGGAGGCAGCAGUGGGGAAUAUUGCACAAUGGGCGCAAGCCUGAUGCAGCCAUGCCGCGUGUAUGAAGAAGGCCUUCGGGUUGUAAAGUACUUUCAGCGGGGAGGAAGGGAGUAAAGUUAAUACCUUUACUCAUUGACGUUACCCGCAGAAGAAGCACCGGCUAACUCCGUGCCAGCAGCCGCGGUAAUACGGAGGGUGCAAGCGUUAAUCGGAAUUACUGGGCGUAAAGCGCACGCAGGCGGUUUGUUAAGUCAGAUGUGAAAUCCCCGGGCUCAACCUGGGAACUGCA
rnacentral:rRNA from 1 species